rnacentral:lncRNA from 1 species
AUUUCUGACAACAAUGAAAUAGUUUAUUUUCUUCAAAUAUUUUAAGGUACGAACGUCAGAAAUAAAAAUGCAGCAUUUAACCCUGGAACCUCAAAUAUCACUGAUUAUACUCAAAGGAGCAGAGGCAUUGUUUUCCAUCUGAUUCCUCAGUUCCUCACACACACAACCAUCCCCCUCACCCCAUGAUCUGAAAAGCGAAAUGAGGAAUUCACCCUAAAAUUAGUGUGGAGAAAACAAGCAAAUUAGGUUAUUUACUAAGUGACUACAUAAAAAACUGAGUAUGAGACCAAGAAAAAUAGAUUCUGUAGUUUUAGUUAAAAAAAAAAUUGACUUGUAAAUCCCAACUACUCGGGAGGCUGAGACACAAGAAUCGCUUGAACCCAGGAGGCAGAGGUUGCAGUGAGCUGAGAUUGCACCGCUGCACUCCAGCCUGGACAAUACAGCCAGACUCCAUCUCAAAAAAAAAAAUAAUUAAUAAAUAAAUAAAAUAAAUAUACUGAAAAUAUUUCACUCCACUAAGAUGUUAAGCUAAAAACAAAUACUGUUUUCUCUUCUUCAAUGUUUGUUAACAUUAGUCCUUAAUAACAUCUGUUUACAAUAUCCCUAAAUGCUCUCUUUAAGAUUCCACCUGUGAUUAAAUUUCAAAUACAAAAAAGUAAAACGGAUUUGGGAAACUUUUCUAUAAAGUACAGCAAUUAAUUUGCAAUCCAAAAUAUAAAGCAAAUUUUAUAUAAUUUAUGCUUUACUAUAUUAGUACUUGCUUCACAUUAAAAUUAAAGAUCAGUAUGGCACCACACAUGAAUAACAUGCAGGCUCAGGUUACCAUUAUACAUAAAUUUUUAAAAUAAAUAUAUGGCAAAAAUAAUAAUUGUCAUUCCAUUGAAAGAAUAUUUAUUUUGCAGCUGUUAAAAGACAUUUUUCCCUAAAAAAAGAAAAGCUGUGCUUUACAUAGCAAUCUUAUAAAAGAAAUGCUAGAAUCAGAAAACCAUCAUUUUAGGCUGGGUGCAGUGGCUCACACCUGUAACCCCAGCACUUUGGGAGGACGAGGCAGGUGGAUCACUUGAGGUCAGGAGUUCAAGACCAGUCUGGCCAGCUCGAUGAAACUCCGUCUCUACUAAAAAUAUAAAAAUUAGCAGAGCACAGUGGCACCUGCCUGUAAUCCCAGCUACUCAGGAGGGUGAAGCAUGAGAACUGCUUGAACCUGGGAGGCGGAGGUUGCAGUGAGCCGAGAUUGUGCCACUGCCCUCCAGCUUGGACAAUAGAGCAAGAUUUCGUCUCAAAAAAAAAGAGAAAAAGAAAACCAUUAUUUUGCAAUAGCCAAUGUUAUAAUCUACACAGGCACAGACUAUCAAUGCUAAAAAUCAUUUAAAAGACAUCUUAGGGGUAAUUACAGAAAUUUGAAUAUAGAACACAUAUGUAAUAAAAUUCAUUUUCUUAGGUAUGAUUACAAUAUUCUUGUUAUACAGAAGAAAAACCUUAUUCUUGGGAGAUGCAAACUAAAACAUUAUGGGUUGAACUGUCAUCAUGUGUAUGGUUUUCAGAUGCUCAACAAAAGUGUGUGAGAAAAUAAAACUGGCAAAAUAUUAGUAACUGGUAAAUCUAGGUGAAGCAUAUUAUUAUGAAAUUAUUAUCGUAUUUACAGGUAUUUAUUUUACUGGUGCAUCUAUCUUUCUAUGAAUGUGAGAAUUUUCACAAGAGCUGGGAAAAUGUUCAUAAUUAUGCAUGCAGAAUAAGCCCAAGCUGGUGGCAUUCUGUUCAGUUACAGGUAAUUUUCUGAAUCUUCCCUCAAAUUUUUCUCAAACCUCUAUAAUCAAGGGGAAAAAUGUUUUGUUUUGCUUUGCUUUUUUGAGAUAGGGUUGCCUAUAAUGGAGUGCAGUAGCUUGACCAUAGCUCACUGUAGCUUCAACCUCCCAGGCACAAGCGAUCCUCCUGCCUCAGCCUUCAAGUAGCUGGGACUACAGGUGCAUACCACCAUGCCUGACUUAUUUUUUUUCCUUUUUUUUUUUUUUUUUUUUUUUUGAUAGAAACAGGGUUUCACCUUGUUGCCCAGGCUGGUCUCAAACUCCUGGACUCAGGCGAUUCACCAGCCUCAGCCUCCCACAGUGCUGGGGUUACAGGAGUGAGCCACCAUGCCCAGUUAAAAAUACACUUUUUAUUUAAAAAAAAAAGAGAACACUCCUUAUAUUUCCUUUAUAUUUUGUAAACUACAUACCCAAAAUAAAGCAUAUCAAAAACUGUAAAAAAAAAAAAAAAAAACCCUAAUAUCAGAUAUUCCAGACACAACAAUACCAUAAUUUAAUCACUUAAAAUCUUACUCAAAACUAAAUCAAUGAUCUUUUAGGCCAGGUGUGGUGGCUCAUGAUAGUAAUCACAGUACUUUGGGAGGCCAAGGCAGGAGGAUCACUUGAGGUCAGGAGUUCAAGACCAGCAUGGCCAACACAAUGAAAAUCCAUCUCUACUAAAAAUACAAAAAUUAGCCAGGCUAAUGGCACACUCCUGUAAUACCAGCUACUUAGGAGGCUGAGGCCAAGGCAGGAGGAUCAAUCAAGGCUAGGA